rnacentral:piRNA from 1 species
UGGAGUUACCAGAAAUGUAUGCGUAAUUCA